rnacentral:rRNA from 1 species
CUACGGGAGGCAGCAGUGAGGAAUAUUGCUCAAUGGGGGAAACCCUGAAGCAGCAACGCCGCGUGAGGGAUGAAGGCGCUCUGCGUUGUAAACCUCUGUAGUUGGGGACAAAACUCCGGUUACUACCGGACUGAUGGUACCCGAAAAGUAAGGAUCGGCUAACUACGUGCCAGCAGCCGCGGUAAUACGUAGGAUCCAAGCGUUGUCCGGAUUUACUGGGUGUAAAGGGUGCGCAGGCGGACUGGUAAGUCAGAGGUGAAAUCUCGUCGCUUAACGACGAAACUGCCUUUGAUACUAUUAGCCUUGAGUCCGGUAGAGAUCUGUGGAAUUCCGAGUGUAGCAGUGAAAUGUGUAGAUAUUCGGAAGAACACCAGUGGCGAAGGCAGCAGAUUGGGCCGGUACUGACGCUCAGGCACGAAAGCGUGGGGAUCAAACAGGAUUAGAAACCCGUGUAGUCC